rnacentral:rRNA from 1 species
UACAGGGGGGGCAAGCGUUGUUCGGAAUUACUGGGCGUAAAGGGCUCGUAGGCGGCCAACUAAGUCCGACGUGAAAUCCCAAAGCUUAACUUUGGAACUGCGUCGGAUACUGGAUGGCUUGAAUUCGGGAGAGGGAUGCAGAAUUCCAGGUGUAGCGGUGAAAUGCGUAGAUAUCUGGAGGAAUACCGGUGGCGAAGGCGGCAUCCUGGACCGACAUUGACGCUGAGAAGCGAAAGCUAGGGGAGCAAACGGG